AGGCUGCAACUCGCCUACACGAAGUUGGAAUUGCUAGUAAUCGUGGAUCAGCAUGCCACGGUGAAUACGUUCCCGGGUCUUGUACACACCGCCCGUCACACCAUGGGAGCUGGUAACACCCGAAGUCAGUAGUCUAACCGCAAGGAGGACGCUGCCGAAGGUGGGAUUAGCGACUGGGGUGAAGUCGUAACAAGGUAUC
rnacentral:rRNA from 1 species